UUCCACCUUCCCUCCACGCUGUUGAGCUCUGCAGUGACAUUCAUCACAACCCUUCUGAUUAAUGUUCCCUUUCUCUCCUUCCUGCCCGACGACGAUCCUCAGCAUUUGAGCAGAACGGGAGGGAAAGAUGACGAAUAACCCGAGAGACGCCGCAGUGCAGCCCAACGAGGCUCUGAGACCCAGAGACCCAGAGCAGGCUGGAUCACGGUGGACUCCAGGACACACACACACACAUACACACACACGCACACACACACACACACACACACAUCCAACCUCACUGAGACUUUGAGCUGAAUUAUUUGAGCCCUUGUUGUGUUGUAUGCGUUGGUGGAAUGCAGCCAGGAGGAGAGGAGCACGUCGUCGGCUUUUGUUACACACACACACACACACACACACACACACACACACACACAAGCUCUUGUGCUCCGUCAUCAGGGUGGAGCGCGCUUGCUGCCGUGUUGACAUGAGGCCCUGAAGCUCUAAUACAUGUUGGAUUGUGGUUUUAAGUGCAGAGCCAUUUUCCCCGUUUCACUUUUUGGAUAAAUGUUUUCUUUCCUGAUUGAAACGUAAUUUUUUUUAAAUAAAUAUAUAUACAUAUAGAUAUAUAUAAAUAAAAACCUAAUUGGUCUAAUUUUUGUCUUUUUGUCAUUUAUAUGUGGUUUAAAUUAGUGUGAGACUUGAGGGAAUAAGAGUGUUUGUUCGUGUCCCUAGUUUCUCUCAGCAGUCUGUAAACAUCCCAGACCUUUGAGCAAGGCACCGUCACUGCCCCUGACGGAGUAAAACUAAAGUCACUUGCCCUCACUGUCGUCUCUGGAGCCAAACACGAUGCAACAUGGAGCUGCUCGGUCUGCAGGAAGAACACGGUGCUAGCUCAUCUGGUCCCGUGGCAUCGCGACUCAAAGCUGAGGUCAAAGGUCACGCCGUCCCACACGCAGCCGACGGGACAGGAAGCACACGUCGGCCCUCAUCGUCUCCUCCGUGGCAACAACCUUGACCUUCGUGGGAGAGGGGGGUCUGAGUGGGUUCUGUUUACACUCUCAGGACCGAGCAGUCCUGACAGAGGAUCCUCAAAGCAACACACAGAACACGUGUGUUCACAGAGCACAUGAAACCCGAUCAGAGGUUCUGUACGCGGCUUUCCUGUCAACAUGUCUUCACUAUAAUACAGAGUGGUUGGGACCCUUCAAGAGAACUGCAGGAGCCUCUGUGGCCCUGGAACCCCGUGGGGACACGUCUCCAGUGGGCCUCAUUUAAAAGAAUUCAUUGAAUCAUUGCUUUUCGCUCUUAGUUGUGUUUGAGUGCUGAAUGUCUUUAGAAAUGUUUUGUUUACAAUAUGUACUUUAGUUUUCACAUUUAAUUGUUGUUUGUUUUGUCAGCACACAAACAGGAAGCGGCCUUCUGGAACCAAAAAGGGUUCUUCAGAGUGACGCCGUAGAAGAACCUUUCAAACCAGGGUUCUUUAAAGAACCAAGUCUUUAUAGAGUUCUUCAAAGAACCUCUAAAGGUGUCUCAAAGAACCUUAAAACAUGGUUCUUUAAGGCACCAUGUCCCAAGUGGUUCUCCAGUAGUGAUGGUUCUUCGUAGAACCA